UAAUCUUAGGCUGUGAAAAGA
ensembl:piRNA 21ur-2740 ncRNA